rnacentral:rRNA from 1 species
GUGUCAGCAGCCGCGGUAAUACAGAGACUGCAAGCGUUAUUCGGAUUCACUGGGCGUAAAGGGUGCGCAGGCGGCCAAGUGUGUGAGGCGUGAAAGCCCGGGGCUUAACCCCGGAAUUGCACCUCAAACUACAUGGCUAGAGCAUUGGAGAGGGUAGCAGAAUUCAUGGUGUAGCAGUGAAAUGCGUAGAUAUCAUGAGGAAUACCAGAGGCGAAGGCGGCUACCUGGACAAUUGCUGACGCUCAGGCACGAAAGCGUGGGGAGCAAAAGGGAUUAGAUACCCCUGUAGUCC